CAUGACCAACAGCACACAUCAGAAGAGGUGGCCUGUGCCUUUGAGGCCAGCUGAGCAGAGACAUGAGACUUCUGCCUCAGGUUCUGUCUUGGACUGCUCAUUCUGGAAGAAGCCACCAGCUGCUACAUGGUAAGGACACUCAAGCAGACCUACCGGAGGUCCAUGUAGUGAGGGACUAAGGCCUCUUGCCAGCUGCCACAUGAGGAGCCACCUGGGACACACCUUCCAGCUCCAGUCAAGCUUUCGGAUGACAGCAGCGUGGGUCAGCAGCAUGGCCACAGUGUCAUGAGAAAUCCUGAGCCAGAACCACCAGCUUAGUAGCUUCCAAACCCCUGACUCUUAAACAGUCUCAGGGAUGAUAAAUGUUUGUUUUUAAGGCCAUGAAGUUUUAGGAGCAUCAAUAUCCUGGGGCCCAAGGUCAGUGCAUUCCAGGCUGCAGACCUCCUGAGCAGUGGGGGUGGGGCUGUGGCAGCUGCUAUUCCUAAAGCUCCACGAAGUCAGAAAAGGGAUGUUCAGAUGAGAUUUCUUUCUUGUCUGCUGUUGGGUUAUCAGUCUCUUCAAGGAAAGUACCUGGGGAGGGUGAAGGAGUGAGGAAAGCAAUGGGGGUGAGGGCUGUGACUUUUGGGGACACCUGCUACUUCUGCCUGUCAGAGGAAGCAGUGCCACAGCCAGGAUGGCUCCUGAAAAAAACUCCCAAACAUGGAGUUGCUAAGUGCUCGCGUAGGUUAUCUAUCGCUAUUUAAUUGUGUAAACAACUUCUGAUGGGAGCCUCAUCAGAACCUUCCAUCCUAAUGCGAACAAAAGCCUGACUCCUGGUUUUGUUAAGUUGGUAUAUAGACCUUCACCUCUGGCUAUUCAGUGACUUACUCAUUACUCCUUGUGCCCACACUGAGUAUGGGUACAGACCUCAUAUUUUCUCUUGUUAAUUUGUCUACUGUCAGUUAGUUCACAUGCCCCUCUGCCACCCCUCAAACCCAAAUUGGAAGAAAAAAGUUUCUCCUCCCAACCCUCUCACAUCAAAGGAAUCCCAGGGGCUGUGAAGUGGGAAGUUCUAGAGCCCUUGGCACUGAGUUUCUGUCUGAACAACUCCCUCUGUAGCAGAGACGCCUCAGGGAUUCACAGUCCCAUCACCCCAGGCACCCACAGAAAUACAACUGCAGGACCUUAGGUCACAGUGAGGCAAAAGAGUAAGAUGCUCAGAAAUUCCUUGGCAGGUUGAAUGAGGAAACUGAGACAGAUGGAUGAUUCGGACUGGCCCCAUCCAGUGCUCUGACUCACCAGCCUCCUUCUCCUUUGUAGGAUCACUCCCUUAAGCAUUAAGCCUUCAGGACAAUGUGAUUUUAGUGUCAAAUAAUCAGAGACAGAAUUUUGGUCAAACUAGAGAUAACAUCUAGGCCUCAGUUGUGUUUAAGCUCUAGACCCAGAAAAGCAGCAAAACCAAACAAAGCAACACCGUGGCUGACAUCAGGACCAGAUGCAAUGACCAAUGACCUCCCUUGUGCCGACCAAUCAGUGGAGAACACAACCCUGACCAUAGAUGUUCAUUUUGAUGAAUCAGCAUAUUAAAGGACACACCUGGAAAGCUGAGAUUUUUCUGAUGACCUCUAGGACCGGAUCUGAGGGUUGGAGCUUCCAAGAACUGUGUUUGGCAGGGAUGGGGAGGACUUGGUAAGGGUGAAGGGCCAGUGUCUCCUUCCGGUAGCUUUGCCUAGGUGAUCCCGUGUUGUUACAGAGCCCCUGGGGACACGCACCUGCCUGGGCCUGGGAAAGGCCCACUGGGGGGGUUCCUCCCCUGCUGGACCAGUGCCAGGCCUGUGCAUAGAGAGGGCAGGUUGGUCACAGCUGCCUGGAAGCUAAUCCAGCAUCUACCGUGAUCAGAAGCCACAAUAGACUCUCCUGAAUAAAACUGGCUACCGGGGCAAAGAAUGACUUCGCUGUCCCCUCCCUGCCAUGAGGAGCAGGCCUUCCACUGCCACGUCCCCACUGAGACUGAGAAUGGC